rnacentral:rRNA from 1 species
GAGACGCGUGGCGGCGUGGAUUAGGCAUGCAAGUCGACGGUAUCAUCCUUUCGGGGGAUGAGAGAGUGGCGAACGGGUGAGUAACACGUAGGUGAACUCUACCCUCAAGACCGGGGACAAACCCAGGGAAACUUGGGCUAAUACCGGAUGUGAGCUAUCGCGAGAUAGUUUGAAAGGUGGCUUCGGCUGCCGCUUGGGGAUGAGCCUGCGUCCUAUUAGCUAGUUGGUGAGGUAACGGCUCACCGAGGCAGUGAUAGGGUAGGCGGCCUUAACGGGUGGUCGCCCACACUGGGAUUGAGAUACGGCCCAGACUCCUACGGGAGGCAGCAGUCGAGAAUAGUCUACAAUGGUCGAAAGACUGAUAGUGCGACGCCGCGUGAACGAAGAAGCCCUUCGGGGUGUAAAGUUCUUUUAUAUGUGAGCAGUGACAUCUAUAUUAAUAGUAUGGGGUGUAGAGAUAUUAGCAUAUGAAUAAGCAACGGCUAACUCCGUG